rnacentral:rRNA from 1 species
GUAGUCCACGCCGUAAACGAUGUCAACUAGCCGUUGGAUCCCUAGAGGAUUUAGUGGCGCAGCUAACGCAAUAAGUUGACCGCCUGGGGAGUACGGUCGCAAGACUAAAACUCAAAUGAAUUGACGGGGGCCCGCACAAGCGGUGGAGCAUGUGGUUUAAUUCGAUGCAACGCGAAGAACCUUACCUACUCUUGACAUCCAGAGAACCAUUUAGAGAUAGAUGGGUGCCUUCGGGAGCUCUGAGACAGGUGCUGCAUGGCUGUCGUCAGCUCGUGUUGUGAAAUGUUGGGUUAAGUCCCGUAACGAGCGCAACCCCUAUCCUUAUUUGCCAGCGAUUCGGUCGGGAACUC